UCAACAUUCAUUACCAUCAUUUUUAUUUUAUUCAUUAUGUUAUAAAGAUAAACGAACAAAUGAGUCAGCUGAUGGUAAGUUGUUACCUUCGCCUAUAGAAAACACUGUAAGGAGUGUUAACCAAUUCUUACAUAAUAAAAAGCAAACCAUGGGAACUAAAAUGUAAUAUUUCUUGUGUUUGUUAAUUAUAUGGGACGAGUGGCAGCUAUAUAGUGAGUCUUCUCGCAGCCAUAUAGGACUGAGUAACAAAAGUGGAAAUACAGAGAAAUAUUAUAAUCAUAUUUUAAAAUUAUUAGUAGGAUUAAACGAGAAACGUGUCAGAAAUUUAAAGAAGCUUUAUACGUUAAAUAAUUAUAAUUUUGGUAAAGAAUCUUUGAGGAAUUUAAUUAAGAACGCAAAAGGAUAUGAUGACCUAAUAAAGAGUAUAGACGUUGUUUUAAAAGAAAUAAAUGAUAACUCAUAUGACGAUCCAAAUCACGUCCUUAAUCUAUAUCGAACAAAUAAUCUAAACAUUAGAAACGGAAAUAAUUUUAAACAAGAAGAUUCAAGUUACGAUGUUAGUGAUAGUAAGAAAAAUGAAGAAGAUAAUAUUUCUGAUAAAAUGUCUAUUGCUGAUGGCAACAUUAUUAACGCAUUGAGAUAUUACUAUUUUAUCUGUAGUAAUUCAAGAAAGAAAUGUAAGAAGGCAUGUCGAAAAUCGUAUAAACGUUUAUGUUCUCGAUACGAUUGUUCAAAUAACUUUGAAAGUAAUAUGGAGGACUCAUGUAGAAAGGCUUGUAGGAAACAUUUUUCAGAAUAAAGAAAUUAAUUCAUAUUUAUAAAAACAAAUGUUUUUGUUCGUAUGUACACAUCGCUUUGCCGAUUGAGUUAAAAUCGUAUGAUCAUAGUAGCCUUGCAUUAAAGUCUGGAUAACUUUGUGUAUGAUUGUCAAUAGAUGUAUUUUGACAUAAGAGCCGAAGUAUGUUGUAAGAGCCGAGAUGGCCCAGUGGCUGGAACGCGUAAAUCUUAACCGAUGAUCGUGGGUUCGAACCCGGGCAAGCAUCACUGAAUAUUCAUGUGCUUAAUUUGUGUUUAUAAUUCAUCUCGUGCUUCACUGUGAAGGAAAACGUCGUGAGGAAACCUGCAUGUGUUAAAUUUCACUGAAAUUCUGCCACAUAUAUAUUCCAACCCGCAUUGGAGCAGCGUGGCGGAAUAAACUUCAAACCUCGUCAAAAAAAGGAGAGGAGGCCUU